AGACUCCUACGGGAGGCAGCAGUGAGGAAUAUUGGUCAAUGGGCGAGAGCCUGAACCAGCCAAGUAGCGUGCAGGAAGACGGCCCUAUGGGUUGUAAAACUGCUUUUAUACGGGGGAUAAAGUGAGCCACGUGUGGCUUAUUGCAGGUACCGUAUGAAUAAGGACCGGCUAAUUCCGUGC
rnacentral:rRNA from 1 species